GUUGGCUGACUGGAAGCAGACCAGGGAGGAGCCAGAGAGCCCAGGGUGAUGUCAAAAGAGAGUGGUUAUGGUGCUUAGAGUGGUUAUUGACAAGGUGGCACUCUAAUCCCCAUAACCACUCUCUUUUGACAUCACCCUGGGCUCUCUGGCUCCUCCCUGGUCUGCUUCCAGUCAGCCAACA